rnacentral:pre_miRNA from 1 species
UCAUAUGGAAAAGUAAAGAAGGUGGUUUUUUGAGAUGGAAACUACUUCUAGUGAAGAUGCUGUGAA